rnacentral:rRNA from 1 species
UACGAAGGGGGCUAGCGUUGCUCGGAAUCACUGGGCUUAAAGGGCGCGUAGGCGGGCUGUCAAGUCUGGGGUGAAAUGCUGCGGCUCAACCGUAGAACUGCCUUAGAUACUGACGGCCUCGAGGAAGGUAGGGGCAUGCGGAACUGUAGGUGGAGCGGUGAAAUGCGUUGAUAUCUACAGGAACUCCGGUGGCGAAAGCGGCGUGCUGGACCUUUUCUGACGCUGAGGCGCGAAAGCUAGGGGAGCAAACGGG